GGAGGGGGCAAGCGUUAUUCGGAUUUACUGGGCGUAAAGCGCACGUAGGUGGCUAGGUAAGUCAAAGGUGAAAGCCCUCGGCUCAACCGAGGAACUGCCUUUGAAACUGCUUUGCUUGAGUCCGGGAGGGGGGAGCGGAAUUCCCAGUGUAGCGGUGAAAUGCGUAGGUACUGGGAGGAACACCGGUGGCGAAGGCGGCUCCCUGGACCGGUACUGACGCUGAGGUGCGAAAGCGUGGGUAGCAAACAGGAUUAGAUACCCUGGUAGUCCACGCCGUAAACGAUGGGCACUAGGUGCAGCGGGUGUCGACCCCCUGCUGUGCCGAAGCAAACGCAUUAAGUGCCCCGCCUGGGGAGUACGGUCGCAAGGCUG
rnacentral:rRNA from 1 species